rnacentral:rRNA from 1 species
CUAGCUGGUCUGAGAGGAUGACCAGCCACACUGGAACUGAGACACGGUCCAGACUCCUACGGGAGGCAGCAGUGGGGAAUAUUGCACAAUGGGCGCAAGCCUGAUGCAGCCAUGCCGCGUGUGUGAAGAAGGCCUUCGGGUUGUAAAGCACUUUCAGCGGGGAGGAAGGCGGUGAGGUUAAUAACCUCAUCGAUUGACGUUACCCGCAGAAGAAGCACCGGCUAACUCCGUGCCAGCAGCCGCGGUAAUACGGAGGGUGCAAGCGUUAAUCGGAAUUACUGGGCGUAAAGCGCACGCAGGCGGUCUGUCAAGU